rnacentral:rRNA from 1 species
AYCAGGUCUUGACAUCCUCUGACAAUCCUAGAGAUAGGACUUCCCCUUCGGGGGCAGAGUGACAGGUGGUGCAUGGUUGUCGUCAGCUCGUGUCGUGAGAUGUUGGGUUAAGUCCCGCAACGAGCGCAACCCUUGAUCUUAGUUGCCAGCAUUCAGUUGGGCACUCUAAGGUGACUGCCGGUGACAAACCGGAGGAAGGUGGGGAUGACGUCAAAUCAUCAUGCCCCUUAUGACCUGGGCUACACACGUGCUACAAUGGACAGAACAAAGGGCAGCGAAACCGCGAGGUUAAGCCAAUCCCACAAAUCUGUUCUCAGUUCGGAUCGCAGUCUGCAACUCGACUGCGUGAAGCUGGAAUCGCUAGUAAUCGCGGAUCAGCAUGCCGCGGUGAAUACGUUCCCGGGUCUUGUACACACCGA